GAAGUUCCACCUACCAAACACAGGUACAUUUUGGGUGACAGAGAGGCUGGACUUAAGGGAGACACACGUAUCCCAGGUGGUUCUCCGGAAGCCCUGCUGCUCUGAACUCCUGUAUCACGAGAUGUUAUGAAGUUCUAUCCAGGAUAAACUGGGGAGAGGCUUUUGGCUUCCAAGAUCAAAGACAAACCUGAAGGAUUCAAAGCUGGAGCCAGAGAGGGCGGCAUUAGACUGCCCACUGUUUUCCUAUCCCUGCCUCUUCCCCGCGGCAGGAGAAUGCUCUUCCCUAGGAUCAUGCCCCCUGCCUGCCUGGGCUGACUGCAGACGAGCAGGAAAGCAGGGUUUCGACUAACAGCUCUCACCAACUAUUGCCAACACAGAUGAAUUAAGACACCAGCUGAAGGGGUUUCUCUGAUGGGAAAACAACCUUGGUUGUUCCAUAGAAACAAAGAAUCCACCUGCCAGUGGGGUUCAGUUUCUGAUCUGGGAUGAUCCCAGACGCCGCGGAGCAACGGAGCCUGGGAACCACAACUACCGAAGCCCACGUGCCCUAGAGCCUGUGCUCCGCAACAGAGAAGCCACUGCAGAGAGAAGCAGCCCACACACUGCAACCAGAGAAAAGCCCUGGC
ensembl:lncRNA